AGAGUUUGAUCCUGGCUCAGGACGAACGCUGGCGGCACGCUUAACACAUGCAAGUCGAACGAGAGAAGAGGAGCUUGCUUUUCUGAUCUAGUGGCGGACGGGUGAGUAACACGUGAGCAAUCUGCCUUUCAGAGGGGGAUACCGAUUGGAAACGAUCGUUAAUACCGCAUAACAUAAUUGAACCGCAUGAUUUUAUUAUCAAAGAUUUAUCGCUGAAAGAUGAGCUCGCGUCUGAUUAGCUAGUUGGUAAGGUAACGGCUUACCAAGGCGACGAUCAGUAGCCGGACUGAGAGGUUGAUCGGCCACAUUGGGACUGAGACACGGCCCAGACUCCUACGGGAGGCAGCAGUGGGGAAUAUUGCACAAUGGAGGAAACUCUGAUGCAGCGAUGCCGCGUGAGGGAAGAAGGUUUUAGGAUUGUAAACCUCUGUCUUCAGGGACGAAAAAAGACGGUACCUGAGGAGGAAGCUCCGGCUAACUACGUGCCAGCAGCCGCGGUAAUACGUAGGGAGCGAGCGUUGUCCGGAAUUACUGGGUGUAAAGGGAGCGUAGGCGGGAUCGCAAGUCAGAUGUGAAAACUAUGGGCUUAACCCAUAAACUGCAUUUGAAACUGUGGUUCUUGAGUGAAGUAGAGGUAAGCGGAAUUCCUAGUGUAGCGGUGAAAUGCGUAGAUAUUAGGAGGAACAUCAGUGGCGGAGGCGGCUUACUGGGCUUUAACUGACGCUGAGGCUCGAAAGCGUGGGGAGCAAACAGGAUUAGAUACCCUGGUAGUCCACGCCGUAAACGAUGAUUACUAGGUGUGGGGGGACUGACCCCUUCCGUGCCGCAGCAAACGCAAUAAGUAAUCCACCUGGGGAGUACGACCGCAAGGUCGAAACUCAAAGGAAUUGACGGGGGCCCGCACAAGCAGUGGAGUAUGAGGAUUAAUUCGAAGCAACGCGAAGAACCUUACCAGGUCUUGACAUCGUAUGCAUAGCUCAGAGAUGAGUGAAAUCUCUUCGGAGACAUAUAGACAGGUGGUGCAUGGUUGUCGUCAGCUCGUGUCGUGAGAUGUUGGGUUAAGUCCCGCAACGAGCGCAACCCUUACUGUUAGUUGCUACGCAAGAGCACUCUAGCAGGACUGCCGUUGACAAAACGGAGGAAGGUGGGGAUGACGUCAAAUCAUCAUGCCCCUUAUGACCUGGGCCUCACACGUACUACAAUGGCUGUCAACAGAGGGAAGCAAAGCCGCGAGGUGGAGCGAACCCCUAAAAGCAGUCUUAGUUCGGAUUGUAGGCUGCAACCCGCCUACAUGAAGUCGGAAUUGCUAGUAAUCGCAGAUCAGCAUGCUGCGGUGAAUACGUUCCCGGGCCUUGUACACACCGCCCGUCACGCCAUGGGAGUCGGUAACACCCGAAGCCUGUAGUCUAACCGCAAGGAGGACGCAGUCGAAGGUGGGAUUGAUGACUGGGGUGAAGUCGUAACAAGGUA
rnacentral:rRNA from 1 species